GUUUUACUUCAUGUGUGUGUUGUAGGACACAGUCUGGAAGUAUCCAUUCUCUGAAGUCAUUUCCACUAGGAAAGUACGAGCUGAGGAUGGAGCAUUGUUUUUGGACAUGAAAUGUGGUAAUCUGAUGGUCCAGAAAAUCAGCCGCAUCCAGACAGAUCAGGCGCACGAGAUCUCUCGCUUGGUUCGCCAAUACAUAAAUAUUGAACAGUCCCAGAAAGUAGUUGCUAGAGGGGAUGCCCCACAUGACGUUACCAUGACUCGUCACCUGGAUAAGUGAAACAGGCUUCCCUUCUACACGUGGACAGAGAUUUUUGAUGUGAAUCUUUGAAGGAGACCUACAACAAAUUCAAUCACAAUUCCAUGAACAGUUUGAAAUAAAAUGUGUUUCUAAAAGUGUGUUUAAUCCAGAUGACCCUUUUAAUUGACCCGUGUCCAUGUUUUGUCCAGUCUCAGGCCCACGUGCCAAAUAUAUCGUGUGCCUCGUGUUUUGUCAAGGCUGUUGUAUUUAUUGAAGUCUAGGAACUUGUAUUAAUUUUUUUUUUCAUUUUGACCAAUGCUGUGUAAUCAGAAUAUUAUUUUAACAGUAUUUGCAAGAAACACGUCAAGUCUUCGCUAACCAUAAGCAAAUUUUGAUAUUCCAAAAUAUAUACAUUCGUUUUUUAAUGAAAAUAAAUUUUUUUUUACACAUUUUAUAUCCCUGAGAGUUUAUACUUCGUUGUUUACGAAUUGUGUCGUCAGGUGCUGUCAAUAUAUAUAACAAAACUCUUUGUUGAGAGUUGUGUAACCAACCUUAUCUUGACUCUUAAGAUGACCGUGAAUCAGGUGACUAAUAUUUACCAACAUUUAAGUAAAACAUUUUACUAAGAGCCCAUGUAUGGAAUGUAUUAAACACGUGUUUUAUGUUUAAAUGUUAUGUUUUUCCGUUUUGAUUAAGACCUGUAAAACACAACUGUAUUUUAAUACUUAAUAAAAUCAAUUUUACUAAAUCCUGA